rfam:Fukomys damarensis contig131434, whole genome shotgun sequence.
UGGGGUGUAGCUCAGUGGUACAGUGUUUGCCUAGCAUGUAUGAAGACCUGGGUUCCAUUCCCAGCACUACAA